CCUCCGGAGAGGCCUUGGCGGCGGCCUUCACCCUCAGUAACCGGCGCCCCGCCAUCCCGGGCUGUUAGACUUGAAUCGCCCGAGACGUCUGACCUUCGCUUUUCUCUUCAUUGGCUGGAGCCACCGCGGGAGGCUGAUUCAGACGCGACUGAAACUAGAUACACCCCUGAGCGCCUGGGCAGUCCCCGUUUCUGUGCAGGGUACCAGUGAUGUAAAGACAGUGAAGACCAGCCCUACCACAGGCGACAAGGGACAAAGCCACAGAAACAGGUACUUAGAAGUUGUCAUGAUUGUGUAGUGGAGCCAUGCUUAUGACGGUACGGUAAGGGAGCCCCGGACAGGGACAAGCCACCACACAGCUGGGGGCGCAGGCACCCCACUCUUUCUUGGUCUUUCUUCAAAGCUUAACGGAGGUGUCAAGGGGAGAUGGGAAGACAAGGCAAGAGGCACUUUUCCUAGAAGGGAAAUACAUUUGUAAUUGUCAAGGAAGACAGAACAAUUACAUCAGAUCUCUGCAAACUGUCAAACAUAAUCCUAUGUCAUAAUUUCAUUUGGUGACAGUACCUAUCCUAGCGCCUGGAUGAUACCUUUUAAUGAACAGAGGAAUUGAGGACGUUGUAAAAACUACAUAUGUGUCUUCAAGUUAAAAAAUUAAAGUGAAGGAAAAUGAUGAGCAUUUUGAUUGUGCCAUGUGGGGAAGAGAACUACAUUAGGACAUUCAAGGAAGGGUAUCCCCCAAAUAUUUCGGUCAUGCUAUGCUCUACCACCCUGCUUCACCUUACUAACGCUUUCAGUCCAGGCAGCCAAGCAUUGGGACACCAUCAUGUAUGUAGGAAUGCCUAGUGUGAACUCCCAGGCACUCAUUCACCUCUUAUUUAGUCACCAAAUGUUUGUUGACUUCCAUGUUCCAGGCAUAGAGCAGAAACGGGAUGGACAAGGUCCCUGCCCUCACAGAGUUGGCCUGCUAGUGGGGGAAACAAAUUCUACAUAGAAACACAGUCUUUGGCUCAGGGUUCUGUAACCUCAGCACUGGAACAUUCGGGACCAUAUAAAUCUUUGCCGUAGGGUGUUGUCCUAUGCAUCUCCUGGCCUUUUAUCUUAGAUGCUGGGUAUCAUCCCCCACCACCCCAACCAGCCACCCAAGUGUGAUUAUCAAAAAUAUCUUCAGAUAUUUCCUAAGGGGAAAGAUUGCCCUGAGUUGAGAAUCACUAAAUUCAAUGAUGGUAACUCUUGCCUUUUUAAAAUUGUACAGGGUUAUGUAUCUGGGAGGGAAAUGAGCAGUAAAACCCUAUUUUUAAACUUGAGGGGUGGGGGACCAAAGAAGAUGUUGACUGAAAUGCUUUUAUUGCUUCUGGAGUAGACAUGUGGUGGUUUGGGGCACUUACCCCCAUUACCCUAUUCCUCGUACUAGUCUUUUAUGAAUCCAGACUUUCCUGGUUCAGACUUUUCAGGGAGCAAGGGAGAAGCUAUGUUUCCACGAAGACCCACAAUAAUAGUUUCAUUGAAUUGGAAUUUGAAAUAGCUGCCUGCUCCUUAUUGGGCUUAUCUGAAAAAAAAAUGGGCAAGAAUUAGAUGAUAGUGUGGGUUAGAGUGAGGAGCCUGCCUCUCCAGUGGAUUAGCAGGCUGCGGAGCACAGGGAGUGCCUGCUGCCUGGAUUGAGAAAGUGCUGUCACCUCUCCUAGGCAGCCCUGUCAGGGGCCCCGGCCCCCAUCUCAGUGGGCAAGGAACUCCAGCCAGCUGGGAUGCAGGCCCAAAUCUAGAGUUAAAUACUCAGUUGUAGAAACAGAUACAGGGGCCUCUGUCUUUAUCCUUGCUGUGACAUAUAUGUGGUGGUUUCAAAACUGUGCAGUUCCUGAAUGAAAUGAAUGGAGUGUAAAAAUGUUCCUUUGCCAAAAGGUAUAAUUAACUUAGCACUCACUUAUCCACUGAUGGUAGAAAUUUUACAAAGCCAGAUUUAAGGUUAGUGUCAUUUGGGCUAAAUCCUUAGCACCCUCACCUGCUGGGUAUCUGUCCCCCUUUCGUUGAGGUUGGUCUUAGUCUCAGGGGGCUUAGGUACUGACCUGAUAUUGGAUACGGGGCAUCAUCUACUCUGACAGUCAUCCUGUUGGCUUGCGCGGCCUCUACUGAGAUUAGUUUCUCUCUCUGGUCCUUUAUCUGUGGCUUUUGGUCUUGGAUCUAGAUUCUUAUAUACUUUGUGUAUUAAUUAGGGUAAUGCUGGCUACUUGACAAAUAAACUCCAAACAUUCAAAGAGUUAAUGCAACCGAACUUUAUGGCUCAUAUACCAGUUCAGUGUGGGAGUCCUUAAUUGGUUGGGUGGCUUUCCUUCAAGUGAAAAUUUAGGAGCCCAGCUUCCUUUCAUCUUGUGGUUCCAUCAUUCCCUGAGGCAGAGGUUCCCCAAAUCUCUUGGUUGGUAGUGCCCUUACAGUCCCAGUUAUAUAUUCUUGGGUCUGUAGAUGGAAAGAAAUAUCUAACAGUUCUGUUGAUUAAGUAGUUAGGGCCAAACAAUGUAAUAGUAAUUGCCUAGUGUCCUGGAUGUUACUAAGUUUUCCUAAAAAUUGUGUAGUAUCCUAAAUACCUUCUUCGGUUCACUAUGGUGUGCUGAUAGUACUAUUUUCUGUGCAUGUUGAAUAUAUCCUAGGUGCCCCUUGUGAAUUCCUUCCUGGUGGUUGUCAAACUGUAUGCAGGAGCCAUGAACCUAGGGCCUUGGAGGCUUUUCUUCCAGCCAGAAGAAGGGGAUAGAGUGUGGGGGAACCACUCUUGCUUUUAAAUCACUUCUGCUCACAUUCCAUUGACAAUAACUGGACAUAUUGCCAUACCUAUAUUAUAUGUUAAGGAACCUGGGAAAUGCAGCUGUCAGCUGGGAAGUCACCUGUUAGCAUAGAAAUAAGAUUUUUGGUAGGCAGCCAGCAGUUUCUGAUACUCUUGGUGACUAUUUCAUCCAGAUUUGGGUUCUGUUGGGUCCUUGGCUCACCCUCAGACCCCUCUGAGCCCUGGGAUGUGGCUGUAGGGCCUCAGAGGUCCUCUGAUUGAAUGUGUGUCAAUCAGAGAGCCUGUCCUCAGUUCAUCUCCCAAACACCUCCCUCGGUCGCGGCUACUCUACAACUUGGUGCCUCUGAGACAUGUAACUCCUUUUUAAGGCUUGCAAAUUUAUGGGCUGUAUUCUGGACAGUUUAAAAAUAAUCUUAUCUGCUCUGAUAAUUCUCGACCUCUCUUGAAUUUCUGUUACCAACCACCCCACCCUGCCCCAUCCAUCAAGAGGCAACUCAUCGCCUAAAGGAAGAUGAUGUUGGCCUUUGUUCCAAUCCACCAUGUACUUCUUUUAUCAGCCCUUCAAACUUUUUAGUACUUCAGGUGAGAACUAAUUCAACAUUAUUAUACACCUUCAUUCUAAUUGUUCUUGAAUAUAUCUUGUGCACUUUUAUUUCAACCUGUGUCUUUCCAUUUUCCAAGCCAAGCUUUUGAAUAUUUCAAAAUAUUUUGCUCUCCCAGAUCUGACAUUUUAAAGGCUUUGAAGACCAUGGUCUCUGUCCACUCAAAAGUUCAAAAAGCCACAAAUUUUACUCUUUCACUUUUUAAUAUUUUUGUUUUCUCUCUCCUUGAGUAAUAAACUCUAGACCCUUGGCAUAAAAUUAGUCAGGGAAGAUUUACUAGAUUAAACAAGAAUUUAACGGAAGAAAAAUGUGUAGGGUAAUAUUUUAGACUACAAUUCAACUACCCUUCUGUAUAGUUACUGCUGUAAUUCAUUUUCCUUUUCUGUUUUUUCUUCUAUCAUUGUCCUGUUGGGGAGGAAAAAUAUUCCUCUACCUUUCAAGGUUCUUCUAACCGGUUUAAGAAUUAAACUGACAGACAGAUUAACAGCAGG